rnacentral:lncRNA from 12 species
CAGGUGACCGUCAAUUGAGCCCUCGUUGGGUUUGGGGAACCCUUGGGUUGGUCGAACUCUUGGUUGGGUUGGGUCAAUUGAGCCCUCGUUGGGUUUGGGGAACCCUUGGGUUGGUCGAACUCUUGGUUGGGUUGGGUCAAUUGAGCCCUCGUUGGGUUUGGGGAACCCUUGGGUUGGUCGAACUCUUGGUUGGGUUGGGUCAAUUGAGCCCUCGUUGGGUUUGGGGAACCCUUGGGUUGGCCAAACCCUUGGUUGGGUCAACCAAACCCUCGUUGGGUUUGGGGAAUCCUUGGGUUGGCCCAAAGUGUGUUUUUGACUCCCCCAGGCAUCCCCGGUUGUUCCCAGGUGUGCCCAGGUGUGUUUUAACUCCCCCAGGUGCCACCAGGUGUGCCCAGGUGUGUCCCCAGGUUUCCUCAGGUGCAUUUUUAACUCCCCCAGGUGUGUUCUUAACUCCCUCCAGGUGUGCCCAGCUGCACCCAGGUGUGUUUUUAUCUCCCCCCAGGUGCCCCCAGGUGUGCCCAGGUGACCCCAGGUGUGAUCUCAGGUGACCCCAGGUGUGCUCCCCUCCCCAGGUUGAACCACGCCGUGUUCCAGCCCUCUCUGACUCACCUGUGCAACCACACCUGGCCCAAGGACGUUCACCUGGUGGGCGAUUUCUCCUCGGCCGCGCGAUUCUUCGUGGGCGUGGCCGUGGCCGCCUUCCUGUACAGCCUGGGGGCCCUGGGCGGCUACCUGGGCUACCUGCACCUGUACAGGUGUGCGGGCUCCCGCCUGCCCCUCCUGGUGAGUGACUGGGGGGGGGUUUACCUGCCCAGGUGUGCUCAGGUGGGGUUUGAGCUCCUCAGGUGUGCUCAGGUGGGGUUCGGGCAGGUGAGGCUCUACCUGGGCUACCUGCACCUGUACAGGUGUGCGGGCUCCCGCCUGCCCCUCCUGGUGAGUGACUGGGGGGGGGUUUACCUGCCCAGGUGUGCUCCCCCCCCCCCCCCCCCCCCCCCCCCCCCCCCCCCCCCCCCCCCCCCCCC